rnacentral:rRNA from 1 species
AUUGAACGCUGGCGGCAUGCUUUACACAUGCAAGUCGAACGGCAGCGCGGGCUUCGGCCUGGCUGCGAGUGGCGAACGGGUGAGUAAUGCAUCGGAACGUGCCCAGUAGUUGGGGAUAGCCCGGCGACAGCCGGAUUAAUACCGCAUACGACCUGAGGGUGAACGCGGGGGACCGAAAGGCCUCGCGCUCUUGGAGCGGCCGAUGUCGGAUUAGCUAGUUGGUGGGGUAAAGGCUUACCAAGGCGACGAUCCGUAGCUGGUCUGAGAGGACGACCAGCCACACUGGGACUGAGACACGGCCCAGACUCCUACGGGAGGCAGCAGUGGGGAAUUUUGGACAAUGGGGGCAACCCUGAUCCAGCCAUGCCGCGUGCGGGAAGAAGGCCUUCGGGUUGUAAACCGCUUUUGUUCGGGAAGAAAUCCUCUGGGCUAAUACCCCGGGGGGAUGACGGUACCGGAAGAAUAAGCACCGGCUAACUACGUG